GGGAGGUAGUGACAAUAAAUACCUUACAGAGGUCUCGUUAACCGAGAUCUCUCAAACGGAAUGAGUACAACGUGAAUCCUUUAACGAGGAUCGACUGGAGGGCAAGCCUGGUGCCAGCAGCCGCGGUAAUUCCAGCUCCAGUAGCGUAUAUUAAAGCUGUUGCGGUUAAAAAGCUCGUAGUUGGAUAUCAGUGCGUGUCCGGUCCGGUAUGCCUGGCGCUGUCGCUCGCGCGGCAAUGCUGGGCUCCCAAAUAUCGGCUGGCCGCAUUCAAUCGUGCCGGAUCCGUCGACGGGCCGUUCUUCGGAGGGGCCUGUUGGCGACCGGCGACGUUACCUUGAACAAAUUAGAGUGCUCAAAGCAGGCUCUGAAUGCCUGUAUACAUAUUCAUGGAAUUGGAGAAUACGUCCCUGGCUCGAUUUGGUUGGUUUUGAGAGUCGAAGGGAAAUGAUUAAUAGGGACUGACGGAGGCAUUCGUAUUGCGACGCGAGGGGUGAAAUCCUGUGACCGUCGCACGACGAACUACUGCGAAAGCAUUUGCCGAGAAUGUUUUCAUUAGUCAAGAACGAAAGUUAGAGGUUCGAAGGCGAUCAGAUACCGCCCUAGUUCUAACCGUAAACGAUGUCGACCAGCAAUCCGCAACGGUCACUACACGGACUGUGCGGGCAGCUUCCCCGGGGAAACCAGAGUUUUUGGACUCCGGGGGAAGUAUGGUUGCAAAGCUGAAACUUAAAGGAAUUGACGGAAGGGCACCACCAGGAGUGGAGCUUGCGGCUUAAUUUGACUCAACACGGGACAACUCACCAGGCCCGGACACCGUAAGGAUUGACAGACUGAUAGCUCUCUCUUGAUUCAGUGGGUGGUGGUGCAUGGCCGUUCUUAGUUGGUGGAGUGAUUUGUCUGGUUUAUUCCGAUAACGAACGAGACUCUGGCCUAUUAAAUUUGACGCCGUCAGUCUCUUGCGACUGCGGCGCGCUU
rnacentral:rRNA from 1 species